rnacentral:rRNA from 2 species
CACGUAGGGUGCGAGCGUUGUCCGGAAUUAUUGGGCGUAAAGAGCUCGUAGGCGGUGUGUCGCGUCGGCCGUGAAAACUUGGGGCUUAACUCUGAGCGUGCGGUCGAUACGGGCAUCACUUGAGUUCGGCAGGGGAGACUGGAAUUCCUGGUGUAGCGGUGAAAUGCGCAGAUAUCAGGAGGAACACCGGUGGCGAAGGCGGGUCUCUGGGCCGAUACUGACGCUGAGGAGCGAAAGCAUGGGGAGCGAACAGG